AUCCUGUGAUGAAAGAUUCUUUUAUUAACAGUUACUAAAGAGCUGUCAAACUCUGAUUACUUCUAAGAUUAAAAAAGAUAAUAAAAAUAAAUUUAACAAAGAAAAGUUAGGAAAAAACCAAUUUCAAAACUAAACUUUUAGGCACUAUUAAGGUCUUCUGCUUAGUAAGGAUAGUCUAUGAUGGAGCAGCUAGUAUGUUCUAAUCCAUCCUCCAAUGUCCAAGUUGGCCUAGCUUGUUUCAAAAUAAACCUUUCACUUCACUGGUUUUCAGUGUUUAUUGCACUGUUCCCUAUCUGUCAUCUUAAAGGACUUUACCACAUGCAUAGCCUUCCUCUUUGGUUAGCCUGAUCUAGGUUUCACCCAGGGAUGGAGAAGCAUAAUCAGGCUGAAAAGUAAUUCCAAUAUGGACAAGGCUAUGUGUUUUUGAAAGGAGCACAUCCUACUGCCCUCUGCCACACUAAAAUGUGCACAAGCAAGGGGCUUUGUGGAGGAGGCCAAGGCAAAGACUUCUACAUCAUAUCAAUUGGCUUCUUCACUGUUAAAACUCUUACUGAGAGCUCAGUCAGAAACAAGAUUGGGUAAACUUUUUCUUAAAUGUUCUUAAUUGCUGUACUAACUCAGCUUCUUUACAGUAAGAAAACAGAUCCUAUCAGCAUGGUGGUUCCUAGGCCUGAUCAAGAGUUGACAGAGAUUCCACAGAUUCUCGCCAACCCUGCUAAGAUCAAGCAUGAUGAAAAUAACUCUGCAUUUUAGUGAUGCUCCUACUUCCAUAAUUUGCCUUUUUCUUUCCCAUACGUAACACACUCUCUCCCAGCACAAGUAAGUACAUUUCAGUAGUGCAAUGCAGUGCAGUCAUAUUUAGUGCAAAAAAAAGCCCUAUUAUAACCCAAAGCUCAACUCUAAACAGCUCUUACAAAGGUUACCAGUGCUACGAAGGUGGGAAAUUCAGUCUAUCUCACACUUAUGUGAGUCAUCUCUUUUGUUGCUCCUGUUUGUUUCAGCUCAAAGUAGAGAAACUAGCAUGCACCUAUGUAUUUUCUGUAAAACAUUAAGCCAAUAGGCAGAAAAUAAAAGGAAGUAGUCUAGUUAAAAUCAAGGGUAUUAUUUAGAAGAGGAAAACAGCUAUUUAAUGUAAAGGUCAGUAGUGGUUUUUACUUAAUAGUUUUCAUCAUGUCAGAUGGCUCUAAUGCUAAGGGGAAUGGGUUCAGAAAAAGAUAAAGCUUUCCUGUUUCUUGAAACACGGUCCUAAAUUUAACAGUGCUGGGCUUUUAUUUUUGAAUAGUGCAAUCAGCUAUUCCUCAAGGGCUACAGGCAGCAGCCACCUAACAUAACAUAAAUAGGUACACUAGGAGCACUCACUUUUCUACAUUGAUCACUUUUUCCCUCACCUCAUUAGUCUCCUAUUCUUUUUUUUUUCUGACUACACAUAAAUACAGAUAUACAUACACAUACACAGAAAUUCUCAAGGCCCCUCUCAGAAUGAUCAAUUGAAAAUUGGUACAAAUAGCUCAGUGACACACUCACACAGAAGUACAAUUAUUAAAUACAAAAGUGAAUUAUUACAGCAAAAUUAAGAGUCUGCAUUGUACCUCUUCUUGUGUUAUUCCAUAAGAAGAAAAAACAUUCAUAGUAGGAUUUCUUAAGGAGCUUACUUCUUUCUAAAGAUUAGUCUAGAAUUAGUUUGGGAUGUGGCAAUAUUGAGUGAUUCUGGAAAAAUGAUUUGUAUUUGAUCAUCCUCAGGAAUCCGUUUCUUCAGUUUGUCUGGGUCUUCACCCUCCAAAGGCUCCUCAGGAAAACUGAGGUUCAAAUCAACGGGCCUAAAGAAGAAGUUUAGCAGCUGAAAAUACCUUUGAGAAUUUUCUCCUGUAAAUCUACAGCUGGUUCCAAAUUAAAGUUUGUCCCAAGGAGAGCAAGAGCAGAGUAACUAGCCUUUGUUUUCAAAGAUUCCCCUAGUUGUGAACAUGCAUAAAGCACUUUGAACUACAGGAAAAUCUUAUCUCAAAUUUGAACUAUUAUUUUAUUUUCAGUGAUCUCUCUGUACACUCCUCUCGGGCCCGGAUAGCACAUUAGGUAUAGAAGUCAGGAGUUUCUACAAUUUCUCUAGAAGUGUUUGGCAGCAUGAAGAGAAAUCUUUAAUCACAAAGAAGUAUAGUUAACUUACUAAUUCUUUGAAUUGUAAUAAUGAGAGAUAGGCAAGAACAACAAGGGGUGAGUAGUGCUAACUUUCUCCGGUAACCUUGACAACUGGCUUUAGGAAUCCAGACCUGUAUCAAAUUUGGUCCCAUCACAUUGUCCUGUUCCCUCUCUUUGUUUUUCUCUGUUCACUUAAUUGAAAUUGCAAUUAUUUUAAAGAUUGAGCCAAGAAUGUCAAUUAUAGCACAAAAGAAAGGUUACAAAAACGUUGUCAGGCUAUCUGUUAAUCGAGUUGAGUUGAAAACAGUAUGCUUUCAAAUGAAGUACUACAAUUUCCUUUUUUAAAAAAAUAGUUUCUAAUUUGUUUUUUCCUUCUUUUGUGGUGGAGGGGUAUAGAUGGGUGAAGUACUGGCAAUGCAGUGCCAAUCUCCCUCUGUUACUGUUCCCUCUAGUGCCUGGGGUUGGGGCAGGUGCAGGGGUGUGGGGAAGGAGAGAGAAGCAAUGGGGAAACAGGUGUUUCUCUACUUAAGACUUCAUGAACACAUACAGUCUUGAAAUGGCUAGAAAAGCAACAACUACAAUGAUAAAAAUCAACAGAUCAAUUGAUUUUGGCAUUUCGGCAGCACCCCUUCCUUUUCUUUCCUGGGUAUCUUGCAGUAGAUAUUAAUUAGAAAUACCCAAAGAAUUUAAUUAAACUAAUUUAUUCCCAGCCUUAUUCCAAAAAGGAUUUGAGGAGGCAAUAAGGAUUUGUAGUACAAAAUGCAUGGUCUUCAUCUGCAAUCAAUAAAAAAAUCUAUUCUUUGGCCCCAGACCUGUUAGUUUAGGUAAAUACGGUUUCUUUCUCAAGGAACAGGUUUUUGUUUUAACUGUUCUAUCCUCAAAGUAAAGAGAGAAUUUCUCUCUUAAAAGCUCAUGAGUGCUAUUUGAAAUGGAAGAUAAGAUUUUUUGGAGGAAAAAUUCCUUCAUGGUAGGAUGGAAGGCUUUUCUUUCUAAGGGGAAAAUAAUACAGUAAGGGUGAGCAGUUAUUUGACUGUCCAUGGACAGUAACAAAUUAAGAAAUAAAAAUCCUUUACUAUCUUGAGAAGAAAGAAAGGGAAACAAAUAAAUCAACAAAAAAACCUUACUAAAAUACACAUUCCUCCAGUUUCAGAUUUCUAAAAAGUAAUAAUUAUGCUUAAAUCAAGGUUUAUAGAUAGCAAACAACUGUUUGAAUGUGUGAAAGUAUUAUCCCUUUGCUCUACCAUGUUUCACUUUCUUUGAAGGAAUUGCAUCUAUGCACACUUAUCCUGAAGUCCAGUGCAGAAAAUAAACUUGUUUGCUACCAGCCUCAAUCUCAGAACAUUUCCUAAGCUAUAUUUGUAAAUUCUAGAGCUACAUAUCUGUAAAAUAAGAUGCAGACUUUCUGAAAUGCAUUGUAUGUGUGUGUGUUGCAGAGGGAGAGGGGAGCAAAGCAAGCUUUUCCUGGAGAAAAGAAGAAAAAAAAAUCUUCCUAUCCUCACGAAUAUAUACUAUAGUGUUUCUGUCUAUUAUUUUGAUGCAUUAGUUACUGUUAGGGCUAUUGAUGCUCCUGACAGGUGUCAGCUUGGAAAGACAGGAGGCUCAUAAGCAAUAAUAAAUUCACACCCUGGAGUCUCUAGAAUAUCAAACAGGAUUUAGACAUUAAUCUGAGACUAACACAGAGGUUGUGGUGAGAAAUUCUGGGUCUUGGGGUUGGAAUACUUCUUGGGGAACUAGAAAGAACAGCAUCAAGAAGGCAUCCCAGAUUGAGGACCAAGUAAGAUCUAUCAGAACCAGAGCCUCUCCUCCUCCAUAUUAUACUUUAAAUGACAGCAUUUUAGGAUUUAAAAGAGUCUUUCUUCCUUUGGAAGCCAGUGCCUAAGGAGAGGAUUACUUUAGAUAAAGAGUACUUUAAGAAAAAAAAAAUACCAGGAGUUAGAAUGGACAAAGAAAAAGAAGGAUAUAGGAUUGAUUGGGAGAACAUUCCAAGUGAAGAUCAUAGUCCUAAGCAAUGUAAAUAUUGCCUUUAAGAGAUGUUGUUUUCCUACUAGAUGCAUGCCUCAUAAAGGCUUUCAAAACUGCUAUUUAUUUCAUUGUUCUCUAUGGUGUGAGUUGAUGUUAUAAACUGGUUUGAUUAAGAUAAAAGCUGGGUCAAAUCUCAAGUCAAAUAAAAAUACAUUUCUGAUAUUAAAUGUUGAUUCUUUUUGUCAAAGGGUAAAGCAAGAACUGAAAGCAUACCGCCUAUGCACUCAAAACCACAUAGUACUCUAAAUGUCACAGGACUUGUCUUCAUUAAAGCUGAGAGGCGAUGUGGUAUCAUGGCAAGAAUAUUGGACCAGAAGUCAGGAAAGACUGUGUUACGAAGUUGUUGUGAAUGUGAUAUUAUAAGCAUCCUGAAAAGGAUACACCCAGAAUGGUAU
rnacentral:lncRNA from 1 species